rnacentral:tRNA from 1 species
GGAGGGGUGGGUGAGUGGUUAAAGCCACCAGACUGUAAAUCUGGCGUCCGGAAGGGCUUCGGGGGUUCGAAUCCCUCCCCCUCCACCA